rnacentral:ncRNA from 1 species
GACAACUAUCUAAGUGUAAUACAGAUGUCCUAAGGUGAGCUUAGGGAGGAUGGAAACCUCCCACUGAGCAAAAGGGCAAAAGUGUGCUCGAUCUUGAUAUUCAUUACAAAUACAGACAUUUUGG